CCACGCAUUAUUCGCAUCGUUUGUGACAAUUUCCUCGUCGUUGCGUACAUUAAUUAGCGAAAAAUAAAUCGCACCCGGUGAGUUUCUGUUCCGUCCGAUUAGUAUUAUUGGAGAUCGUGAUUGUCGAUAAAUGUUAUGAUCGACAAUAAUGCCAAACAAUAAAAGGAUACUCAUUCCCUUUCUCUCUCUCUCUCAUACUCUUUCGCUUUUUCUCUCUGGAGUAUUUUAAUUCAAUAUUUGCUUGUGUAGUUUGUGUGAUUUGUUCCACCAGUUGAACAUAAUAAACUUUAUUUCUCUCUCUCUCUCUCUCUGACACGCAAUCCUUUAUCAGAGAUAACGAUCUCGUCUAUUCGCGUAAAAGCAUCUCUGCGAGAUUUGGAAUCGGGAAGAACACGGGCAGGGGCUGGUGGGGGAGAGGGGAGGAGGAGGGAGAAGCAGGUGGACAGAGAGAGUUGGUUUAUUCGGAGGACAUUUUCAUUGGUGAAUCUCUAGCUCGUGUAUACUACAUCUUGACAUGUAGUUACACUGUCGCGCUAUAUUUGCAACACAGAGGGCCGGUAAAAUCAACAACCUGUGGAUAUUUGGCAAUCUGCUUUGCGCGAAAGGGGAGAAACUACAUCGAAAUGGUAGGUACUCGCGCGUGCCUGCCUCGAGCAGCAGGAAGGAGGGUCCUGGAGUGUUGAGAAUAGGAGGAAGAAGACCACGAGGAGUGAUGUGUAAAGGUAGGAUUGUGGGUGUACUAGCUGAGAAGGGUUGCCAUACGAAACGGAAAGAGAUGGAUGAUGAAGAAGAAGAAGAAGAAGAAGAAGAAGAAGAAGAAAAAGAAAGAAAGA
rnacentral:lncRNA from 1 species